rfam:Thermobispora bispora DSM 43833, complete genome.
GGGGGUGACUGGCUUCGACUUCGGCACUGCAAGUCAGGGGAAGCGGGUCGGGGACGGCGGACAUCACCCCGUCAACACUGUGUCCGCGAAAAAUAAGUGCCAACAAGAAGCACGCUGAGGUUAGCCAGGCUUCCCUGGCUCUCGCUGCCUGAUCAGCGAGACCUCUGUCAGUCCGGGAGCGCCUCCGGCCCGGUACUGACAUCGGUAGGAGGCUGACCGGCCGGCUCGGUCACGGAGCCGUCCGGGACAUCGCACAGUGACUGGGCCUGUCGGCGACUUGCCUGCGUGAGCGCCGGGGCCGAGUAAAACGCCUAGCAGGCUGCACCCGGAGAAGCCCUGGCUUGGUGUUGAAGGACGCGGGUUCGAUUCCCGCCACCUCCACGA